UGCCCCGGCUUUGUCUUUUGAAAAUCUGGUUAGCGGAGAUAAACUGAAGCAUUGUUACUCUGCAAUAUGACUACAGUGCGAUAGGGAAUGCGGCAGCCCCUGGAUAGAAGUUCACAAAACACUUUGUUAAUUUUGCUGGUUUUGCCUGUAACAGAUAUGGCCAGCCGAGCCCAUAAUUGGCAGCGGCCAUCUUCGGUACUGGCGGAAGCAUUCGUUUGGGCCUGACCCGGAAGUAGACACGUGGAGUGGAAGGUUGAUGUGGUGUUUGCGGUUGGUUUGAGGCGGAGAUUUUCCCCGGGUCUCAAGACAACAGGAGCACUCGUUAUUGUGUAGCACUUGACUUCUUACAGUCUGAUUGAAAUUGCAAUAUGCAUCAAAUCAAGGAUACUUAUUUUAUGGGCCCAUUAUUACUAGGAACUGGAUCAAGACUUGCAAAUGUGUUUUGCUUUCAUCUGCAUCUGCAUUUCCGCAUGACUGCACAACUCAGUCCUCCUUAAACCAAUAAAACAGCAAAACGUCAAGAUGUAUUUACAUUUUAUCUGCUGGCAUCUUCAUAACUCCCACAGAGAGGGCAUGUUGCUUGCCCUCUGCUGUAAUAGCCUUAAGAAUGGUCAGUUAAGGAAACUUCCAGCAACUAAGGAAUAAAGCAAAGAACAGCAACUAACAAAAACGAUGAAUACUUGUCUUCUCAUGUAGAAAUAUAAAACCUUCAAAUACAACCACAUGAAAUCUUAUUUAAUAUUAAUUUCUGUAGUUCUAAUAAAGGAAUACUUAAGAAUACUAUAAACUUUCCAAAUGGAAAAGUUGUCAAACUGUGGAGGAACAUGUGGCCUGACCAGGGAGGACAGGACAGAAAAAUAGUAAAGCAGAAUGGAACCAUGUUUUACCAAACAUUGAAGAUAAGAAGGUGUAACUACACUUAUAGUAUCAGUGGUAGGAUGGAAUUUAUAACAGGAAGAAUUGAAAGGUACAUUCAAGUGCUUUUUUUUGACUAAUUUGAUUUUGUUUUAGGGUUGAGUAAUAUUUUUUGAUUUUUUCAAUAAAGAAAGACAAUUUGCAUAACUGGGAUUACAAAACACUCUUUAUAAAUUUUCUGAACUAUGAAACUAAAAGAGGCCUAUAAUCAAUUUCACUAUCCGGUACACGAAUGUCCUUAUCUGGUCUGGCCUACAUUUCACUCCAGACCCGUAGAAAAGUAGUUGAUUACUAACUGUCCCCUGCAAUGGCCUUACACGCCAUUCAGUUGUACCAAACUGCUAAAAAGAUAAAACAUACAGACCACAUGGCUUCGACCCAAGGACUGAAAUUAAUAAUGGAAAGCCAUGUCCACCUUGCAAAGUCCUCCAUGCCAAUAUUGGAAGAGCAGUCUGACAGACAUGCGAAGUAACAGCCUGACAUUGUAAUCUUCAGGAAAUCCUAUCUGACAAACAAUGUCCCAGAUUUCACCAAAACCUUCAAUGGGUAUGCCCAUGUCCAAGUGGCAAGAAAGACAUACCAGAGGUGGCUGCAGUACAAUGGUAUAGUCAGAAAGCAGUUGGCCUAGGAGUCACUCAGCUCCCGAUCUCAUUACAGCCUUGCUUCAAACAUGGACAAAACAGCUGAAUUCUCGAGGUGAGGUGAGAGUGACAGCCCUUGACAUCAAUGCUGCAUUCGACCAAGUGUGGCAUCAAGGAUCCCUAGCAAAGCUGGAAUCAAUGGGUAUCAGGAGGCAAACUCUCCAGUAGUCAAGUCAUACCUGACACAUGGGAAGAUGGUCAUGGUUGUUGAAGAUCAGUCAUCUCAGCUCCAGGAUAUCUCUGCAGGAGUUCCUCAGGGUAGUGUCCUAGGCCCAACCAUCUUCAGCUGCUUCAUCAAUGACCUUUCCUCCAUCAUAAGGUCAGAAGUGGGGAUGUUUGCCAAUGAUUGCACAAUGUUCAGCACCAUUCAUGACUCCAAAGUUACUGGAGCAGUCCAUAUUCACAUGCAACAAGAUUGGGACAAUAUCCAGGCUUGGGCUGACAAGCGGUAUGUGACAUUCGAGCCACAGAAAUGCCAGGCUAUGACCAUCACCAAUAAGAGACAAUCUAACUACCACCCCUUGACAUUCAAUGGUGUUACCAUCACUGAAUCCCCCACUAUCAACAUCCUGGGAGUUAUUAUUGACCAAAAACUCAACUGGACUCACCACAUAAACACAGUGGCUACAAGAGCAGGCCAGAAGUUAGGAAUACUGCGGCAAGUAACUCACCUCCUGACUCCUCAAAGCCUGUAAACCGUCUACAAGGCACAAGUCAGGAGUGUGAUGGAAUACUCCCCACUUGCCUGAUUGAGUGCAGGCCCAACAACACUUCAGGACAAAGCAGCCCGCUUGUUUGGCACUAACAUCCACAAGCAUCCACUCCCUCCACCACCGACGCUCAGUAGCAGCAGUGUGUACUAUCUACAAGAUGCACUGCAGAAAUUCACUAAAGAUCCUCAGACAGCACCUUCCAAACCUGCGACCACUUCCACCUAGACGGACAUGGACAGCAGACAUAUGGGAACACCACCAACCUCCAAGUUCCCCUCCAAGCUGCCCACCAUCCCGACUUGGAAAUAUAUCGCCGUUCCUUCACUGUCACUGGGUCAAAAUCCUGGAAUUCCCUCCCUAAAGGCAUUGUGGUCAACCCACAGCAGGAGGAAUGCAGCGGUUCAAGAAGGAAGCUCACCACCACCUUCUCAAGGGCAACUAGGGAUGGGCAAGAAAUGCUGGCCAGCCAGCGACACCCACAUCCCACAAAAUGAAGAAAAAAAAAUCCCCCAUGCUGAACAACACUUGGAAAAAGCAUGAGGAGGGUGCAGGGUGCAAAAUGUUCUUUGGGUAGUGGACUUCAACGUCCGUUACCAACAGGCUCAGCAGCAUCACUGAUGACUGAAAGGCUGAGUCCUAAAAGACAUACCUGAUGGACUGGUUCUGAAACUGACCGUGAGGGAACUAAUGAGAGGGAAAAACAGUCAACUUCACUUCACCUGUUGCAGGUAUGUCAGAUCCAGCAACUUAAAAUGGGGCAGUCUGAGACACUGGCAGCCUUCAGGAGCAGCAGAAUCUUUAUUCAGUCACAUUAUGUAACGUCAUAGCCCAGUAUAUCCCUCAGUACCACUGCCAACAAACCAGAAGAUCAACCCUUGUUCAAUGGAGGGUGCCGGAGAGUAUACCAGGAGUAGCACCAGGCAUACAGAAAAUGAGGUGUCAGCCUGAUGGAACGAUUACAGACUACUUGCAUGUCAAAGAGAGAGAGCAGCAAAUGACAGAGAGAUAAGUGAUUCUACAACUAACUGAUCAGGCCUGAAUGAUGGUAGACAAUUAAACAAUUAACAGAGAGAAAGAGGAGCCAUCACUUAUAUUUCCGUCCUCAACGAUGUGGGAGCCCAGCACAUCAGUACAAAGUACAAGGCUGAAGCAUAUGUAUUGGUCUUCAGGCAGAAGUGCCAAGUGAAUGAUCCAGCUCAGCUUUCUGAGGUGUCCAGAAUUAUACAUGUCAGUCUAUUUGAUUCAUCCUGUGAUAUGAGGAAAUGGCUGAAUGCUGAAAAAGCCCUGACAACAUACCACCUAUAACAUUCAAGACCUGUACUCCAAAUUUAGCUAUGCUUCAGCUAAGCUGUUCCAAUAUAGCUGCGACUUUGACAUCUUCCCAAUAUUACACAAAGUUGCCCAGCUAUGUCCAAUCCGUAUAAUAACUGAUAAAUCCACUGUGGCCAACUACGACCCUGUCAGGCCACUCAGUUAGGGAUGGGCAAUAAAUGCUGGCCUGAGCCACAUGCUAAGAAUAUUUUCAAAAAAAAAUUAAGCUUAUUUGACUUCAGUCAGGACAGCAGUAGGAUGACUAAAACUAGCUACAGUUCUUCUGGGAUGAAAAAGAAAAAUCAGGUGAGGACAGAGUUGGCUGCUAUGUUUUGACCACCAACUUAAAAAUACUUAGUCAACUCUCACGCUCAAGGUUAAGACAUAAAUAAUGUUAACUUAAGUGCAGUAGUGGAGGGCUGACUGCCCUUUCAAGGAUGAAGGCGCUCAAGAGAGGGUAGGGGAUAUAAAAAACAAACAAAUUAGGAACCCUUAAAAAUGUGCCAAACAACAGUUUGCGAAUGACAAGAAAUCUGACCAAAUUUGUAUCGACUUCAAGAACUACUAUGUAAAUGCAUUAAAUUACAAAUUGCACUGAUGAGCUAAUAAAACAAUUCAUUGUACAAAACACCCUUAUAACUAGAACUCCUGUAAAUAAAAAUACUUUUUGAUUUCAAACAGAUGAGUCACAUCAAGGAUACAAC